AUUCUUUCAAUCUUUCUGAUUUCUUCACCACGUUUCGUGACCACUCAUUCGCCACCACGUUCACUGGCUGUCGGUCCGAAAGUUUUUAACUGCCAAUAUAUCCGAUUUUAAUUCCUAUCUUAUUUUAUUCUAUCAGUGUCGAUUUUAAUUACGAACUUCAAAAUGAAUUCCAUUAAGGCUGAAAUCAUCCCUGAUAUUCUUCUUGAUCCUGGCACGAAAAUACGUUACGUGAGAGGCCAGUUACUUGGAAAGGGUGAGUUUGCCAAAUGCUAUGAGCUCACAGACAGCGCUACCAACCAGAUCUUUGCUGGCAAAAUCAUUUCCAAGCAGCUUUUGAAAACACAGCACCAGAGGGAUAAGAUGGCCCAGGAGAUUUCUAUUCAUCCCUGGCUGGUCCAUAAACACAUUGUUGGAUUUCACAGCUUUUCGAGGACAGCAACUUUGUCUUCAAUUUUUUUGGAGCUUUGCAAAAGAAGAGCAGAGUCUCAUGGAGCUGCAUCAAAGAAGAAGUGUUAUCACUGAUCCUGAAACUCGCUCCUUCAUGCACCAACUUCUUCUUGGUGUAAAGUGUCUCCAACAAAACAAGAUCAUUCACAGAAACUUGAAACUUGAUGGAUAAUCUUUUCCUCAAUGAAGGCCUGGAGCUGAAGAUUGGAGACUUUGGCCUUGCAACAAAGUUAGAUUUUGAUGGUGAAAGGAGAAAGGCUCUGUAUGGAACUCCCAACUACAUUGCACUCGAAGUCUUGUGCAAACAAGAUCAGUUUUGAAGUGGAUAUCUGGUCUGUGGGCUGCAUUUUAUGUAUACUUUAUUGGUUGGGCAUCCUUCCUCGUUAGAAACAGGGUCAUUGAAGAAUAUAUUUACAGCAAAAUCUUAAAGCACAAGUCUCAUGAUCCCUCUCAUUAAAGUCCAAAAACUCAUCUUUAAAAAGAUUCAGGCAGAUCCUAGCAGCCGACCAACCGUGGAUCAAUGUUUGAGCGACGACUUCAUUACUCAAGGUUACAUGCCUUCGCGCCUGUCUUUGUCCUGCUUGACUAUGCCACCGCGACUCGAUCCUCGCCUCAACAUCGGUGUUAUUGACGUCCGUCGACCUCUUGGCGAUCUAAAACGGGAUGUUAAUUCAAUUAAAAUACAAGGUGGCAAGGCCGAACCAGUUAACCCACCAGCCACUGCCGACGCACCACUUCCGGCCGUUCCAUCAGGCCCAUCGCUUCAGCAACUGCUCCGUGACUUGGAGCAGCAACUUUUGAAACUGUUAACCUCGAAACCCAACGAGAGAGUUCCAUUCCUCAUGGAUGAGGCCGAAGACCCUGCUGCCAUUCCAAUGGUGUGGGUUUCUAAAUGGGCCGGACUUCAUUUUCGGCAUUGGUUAUCAGUUGAGUGACGACACGAUCGGUGUUCUUUUUAAAGAUCUCACCCAGCUGUUAUUGCACGUCGAUGGAAAGAAGCCGAAAUGUUCGGAAAAUUUUUUCUUUAUCGAUUAUGAAACGCUUGGCGCGUAAAAGGAAAGGGAGGAUUUUUUCGCUCACAUAUUUCAACCGCUGUAGCAAAUCUUUUGAGGAACCGUAUUGAGCUAGAGAAGUUAGCCGAAAUGUUCGGAAAUUUUUAUGUUCAUCGAUUACUGAAACGGCUCCCAUCAACGCGAAUAUAUUUUAUUGAUGCCACUAAAUUAGCAAUCCGUCAUAACAAACGAAAUUAUUCUUUGUCCGUUGAUGAGAGCCGUUUCAGUAAUCGAUAGAGAUAAAAAUUUCCGAACAUUUCGGCUAACUUCUCUAGCUCAAUACAUUUCCUCAAACGAUUUGCUACAGCGGUUGAAAUAUGUGAGCGAAAAAAUCCUCCCUUUCCUUAUACGCGCCAAGUAAUUUUUCAUUUUUAAAUAUAUAUUUUUUUAAUGUGAAUAUUUGCCCCAAAUGUCCUCCCAGCUUUUAAUGUUUUAUUCUUCAUAUUUUUAUGAUUGUUUUUUAAAAUGUGAAACUGCCUCGAGUUGUUUUUUUUGAACAUCUAUCUCUUACUUCUAGUCUUAUACUUCAAUUACUUUCUCUUUAACGGUUUUUCGUGAUUAAAAUGGUAGAUAACCCAAAUUAUUCUAUUAUCUAAACUAAAAGAAAAUACACGUAAUUUUUUAAUUAUCGAUCAUUCAUUCCAAUCGUGCAUUGCGCAAUAACAAAUAUCAAUACAGCAGACGAUUCGCAUAAAAAUGUAACCAUGUGAAAAGGAAUGGCCGAAUGGGUUUAUUAAAUAGAAAAUUCCACUUUGAGAAAGAAGAAAGAAAGAAUUGGUAAUAAAUCAUUUGCGUUUGUGUGCGUGUGCAAUUGUGGAUACAUUACGAUUUUCGUUUCUUUGUUUUCUGUGCAGUAGUUUAGAUGGAAUUAAAGCAUUUAGGGAUAAGUGAUUUCAUCAUGCUGUUGUUAUUGGAUUUACAUCUCUCAUGUGGGGAAUCUCGACUUCAUCUUCUGUGACACUUUGGUAUUGCAGUGAAAGGAACAGUCCUAUCACAUCCCAAGUUGAAAUAUAGUUAGACGGAUAUAUAGACAGGCUGGCAAUCAUAGCAAAUUAGUUUUUGAGUAAUUUAUAUUGUUUUAAAAUCUAGACCAAGAUCAAUUGCAGUGAAUGAAGUUUAUCGCAACUGCACAAAUGUGUAAAUAUGAGAUGUACAUGUUUCAUAGAAUGCUGAUGGCAACUUGUAGAUGUCGAUAAAGAU